GCUCCGUUGGUGAACCAGCGGAGGGAUCAUUACCGAGUUUACAACUCCCAAACCCCUAUGUGAACGUUACCAAACUGUUGCCUCGGCGGGAAAUUCAUGCCCCGGGCGCGUCGCAGCCCCGGACCAAGGCGCCCGCCGGAGGACCAACCAAAACUCUUUUGUAUGUCCCUCGCGGACUUUUAUAAUUCUGAACCAUCUCGGCGCCCCUAGCGGGCGUUUCGAAAAUGAAUCAAAACCUUCAACAACGGAUCUCUUGGUUCUG
rnacentral:misc_RNA from 1 species